UUCGUUGUGUUUGGCAAUAGAUAGAAUUCACACUGUGUACACUGAUCAGUGGUUCUGCUUUUGCCAACUACAGCGUGU